GAGGAGAGGAUACAGGAGGAGGUGGAAGCCAGGCAGGAGGAGGAGGGAGGGGUAGAACAAGAGGAGGGGGAGGUAGAGGAGGAGGUGGUAGAGGCAGCGGAAGAGAAUGUGGAGGAUGUAGAUGAGUUGGAGGAGCAGAUAAAGGAGGUGUUUCUCAAAGGAUUGCUGCCAGAUGAGUCAGGGGAAGAUGAGGGACUAAAAGAGGAGAGUAUGGAAGAGGCAGAGGAAUCUGAAAAAGGGUGGUCAAAUGUGGCAAGCACCUCCUCUGUGGUACGGAGAGUAGAUUUGAGGACCCAGAAUAGUGUGACUAUAGUGAAAGAGAUGAGGCAACAAGAAGGAGGGAUGGAGGAGGAGACGCUGGAACAGGUGGCGGUUUCAGACGAGGGAUUGAAAGAGGAUGAAGGAUGGUUAGAGGAGAGGAAGCAUCAGGCUUUGGUGGAAGGGUUGCCAGAGGGGCUUGAGGAAAGGAGAGGAGAGAUAAGAGUGGAAAGGAGGAGGAAGAAGGUGACUAUAGUUACACAGGAUGAGAGUCUUCCAGAUGAACUAGAGAAGAAAGCAUCUGAGAAGUUGUCAGAGGACCAGAUAGGAGGCCAUUUUUAUAAAGAGGGACAACUUAUGGUGAAAUUCAAUGAACUAUUUGCGGCAGAGAAGUUAGGGUUACCGAUAGUUACAAUUCAGCAGGAGUGGCUCCAAGAACAGGAAAAGGUCAGGGAGGAGAAACAGGAGGAGAGAGUGGAACAGGUGAAGAUUUCAGGCGAGGGAUUGAUAGAGGUGAAAGGAGGUCUAGAGGAUAGGAUGCGGCAGAUGUCGGAGGAAAGGUUGCGAGAGGGAGAGCAGACUGUGGUGAAAACCAAGAAAACAGUGAGAAUAGUGGAAGAAAUGAGGAGAACACAGAAGACACUCGAGGAAAAGUCAUCAGAGGACAUUUUAUCAGAGGAAAGGCUGGGAGAUGGUUUUUAUACAGAGGGGGAAGUUUUGGUGAAAUUCAGAAAGGAUGUGGAGAGGGUUCCACAUAGAGUCAGACAAAUGGAGAAGCCCCAAGAAGACAAGGACGAUUGGGUUGUGCUGCUGGACAGCCUCCCACACAAGACUCUUUAUAAGCCUCCAGUCAUGCCAGCCGACUCCGCUCUGGUGCCUGUGGUCUCCACAAGAUUCUCUGUGGUGUUAGUAGACACGGUCGAGCAGAGAGCACCAGAGAGGGAAUGCAUUGAAGUGGAGGCCACACAGCAACAGCCUGAAAGGGGAUUGGUGGAAGGACGGAGAUUGUGGCAAAUGCAGGAAGAUGAUUGGUUUAUGCUCUUGGACCUGGUUGAUCGUGUUCCUUCAGGUGUACCAACCACACCAGUUUCAGCUUCUUUGCAAGAGCAAGUUCAGGUGUACGUAGAUGAAACCAUCUCUUCCAUGGUUAAAGUGAUGACAGCGGUGCAGAGAGAGGAGACCAGGGUGACUGUAGUGGAGGAGAUGGAGUUACAGGAAGACCAGAGCCGUCUGGAACAGAAACUGUCACAGAGAGAGAUGGAAGAUGGCUGGUUUGUUUUGCUGGACAUUGUUCCCAGAGAACCAUCUGUGAUUCCGUCAGCUUCUGUGGAAGAGCGUAUUCCGGUAUACCCUGAGGAAAGCGUCUCCUCUGUGGUUGAGUUGACGACAGUAGAGCAGAGAGAGGAGAGAAGGGUGACUGUAAUGGAAGAGGAGCGACGUCAAGAAGAAGUUAUACUUCCACCACAGCCAUCAAGAGAAAUGGACGAUGACUGGUUUGUGCAACUGGAUGUCGUGCCCAGAGAAACAUCCUAUAAACCACCAGUCGCUCCAGCAGAGCCAACACCGGUUUCUCCAGAUGUGAUCAGCCCUGUGGUUGAGGUAAAGGCUGAACAGCAGAAGCCAGUGGUGGUUCUGGUGGAGGAGAUGAGGCCACAACAGGAACGGGAAGUAGAGGAGUGGCAGCGACAACCAGAGAGAGAUGAUGAUUGGUUUACACUGUUUGCUGAUGUCCGUGAGGAGCCGAUCAUUGUACCACCAGUGGGGUUUGUUCUGUUGGAUGCAGUCCGUGAAGAACGUGCUGGGGUUCCACCAGUUUCCCUGGCUGUUAGCGAUAGGGUAUACCCAGAGGUUGUGCCCGCCAAACAUCUGACCAUUGAGCCUGAACCAAGAGUGUUUGUGGUGGAAGCAGUCCGAUUACUUCCUGAAGACUUUGCCCUGGAGGGUAAGGCAACACAACCGCAGAGAGAGCAGGAUGAUGAUUGGUUUUUGCAGCUGGAUGUUGCCCCUAAAGUAGCAGGUACUUUGACCAUUCUAAGCUUGCUGUUGGCCACUCGAAAUACAAAUACCAACCCUUCUCUUGCAUCCAAAGGCUCUCAAUUGUUGUGUGAGCCUAUUGACUAUCCACAAAAGCUUUUGG
rnacentral:lncRNA from 13 species